rnacentral:rRNA from 1 species
UGCGUAGGCGGCCGCUUAAGUAGGGUGUGAAAUGUCCCGGCUCAACCGGGGAAUGGCGCUCUAAACUGGGUGGCUCGAGUGAGAUAGAGGUGUGCGGAACUUCCGGUGGAGCGGUGAAACGUGUUGAUAUCGGAGGGAACACCAUUGGCGAAAGCGGCACACUGGGUCUUAACUGACGCUGAGGCACGAAAGCCAGGGGAGCAAACG